rnacentral:rRNA from 1 species
UGGGGAAUAUUGCGCAAUGGGGGAAACCCUGACGCAGCGACGCCGUGUGAGGGAAGAAGGCUUUCGGGUCGUAAACCUCUGUCAGGAAGGAAGAACCUCUCAAGGCUGAACAAGCCUUGGGACUGACGGUACUUCCAGAGGAAGCACCGGCUAACUCCGUGCCAGCAGCCGCGGUAAUACGGAGGGUGCAAGCGUUGUCCGGAUUUACUGGGUGUAAAGGGUGCGCAGGCGGAUGGGUAAGUCAGGGGUGAAAGUCUGCAGCUUAACUGUAGAAUUGCCUUUGAUACUGCUCAUCUUGAGUGUGGGAGGGGUUGAUGUAAUUCCAGGUGUUGCAGUGAAAUGCGUAGAUAUCUGGAAGAACACCAGUGGCGAAGGCGGUCAACUGGCCCAUAACUGACGCUCAUGCACGAAAGCGUGGGGAGCAAACA